AUGAAUUAUGGUGACAUUGCUGUAACAGGACAUCCAGUGCAGGCUGGUUAUGACACAGUAAGCUCCACACACUACUUUGUGAUUCCUGGAUCAAACAAUGGGAGCUCCAUCUCAAACCUCAGGAACUCCAGUAAUGUUAAUGUUCCUGGUCGAUGGGCCUUCAGGGUGGACGGUGGAUCAAAGUCAAACAAGGAGUACAUCACUGGACUUCAAGCAAAACUUUCCUCAUUUUCUGACCUAACAGAUACUGGAAACAUUCAGAUUGUUUUGCAGCAAGUAAGACACAAACAUGACUAUUC
ensembl:lncRNA